rnacentral:rRNA from 1 species
UACGAACGGUCCAAACGUUAUUCGGAAUCACUGGGCUUAAAGCGUCCGUAGGCGGCUCGGAAAGUAGGGUGUGAAAUCCCACGGCUCAACCGUGGAAUUGCGCUCUAAACUAUCGAGCUAGAGGGAGAUAGAGGUGAGCGGAACUGAUGGUGGAGCGGUGAAAUGCGUUGAUAUCAUCAGGAACACCGGAGGCGAAGGCGGCUCACUGGGUCUUUUCUGACGCUG